rnacentral:rRNA from 1 species
AUGGUUCCACGCCCAAAGGCACGGCGAUCAUGUUUGACGUGUGCCCGAGGAUGGGGCUGCGGCUGAUCAGGCAGUUGGCGAGGUAACGGCUCACCAAACCUUUGACCAGUACGGGCCAUGAAAGUGGUAGCCCGGAGAUGGGCACUGAGACAGGGGCCCAGGCCCUACGGGGCGCAGCAGGCGCGAAAACUCCACAAUGUACGGAAGUACGAUGGGGUUAUCUCGAGUGCAGUCCGAUAAGGGCUGCUUUUCCAUAGAGUAAUAUCCUGUGGGAAUAAGAGGGGGGCAAGACUGGUGUCAGCCGCCGCGGUAACACCAGCCCCUCGAGUGGUGGGGACUAUUAUUUGGCCUAAAGCGUCCGUAGCUGGCUGUAUCCGUCCCCCGUUAAAUCCAGCGUCCUAAGCGUUGGACCGCGGGUGAUACCAUACAGCUAGAGGGUGGGACAGGUGAGCGGUAUUUCUGGGGUAGGGGCGAAAUCCUUUGAUCCCAGGAGGACCACCAGUGGCGAAGGCUGCUCACUAGAACACGCCUGACGGUCAGGGACGAAAGCUGGGGCAGCGAACCGGAUUAGAUACCCGGGUAGUCCCAGCUGUAAACGAUGCUAGCUAGGUGUUGGGUCGGCCACGUGCCGCCCCAGUGCCGCAGGGAAGCCGUUAAGCUAGCCGCCUGGGGAGUACGGCCGCAAGGCUGAAACUUAAAGGAAUUGGCGGGGGAGCACCACCAGGCGUGAAGCCUGCGGUUUAAUUGGAGUCAACGCCGGA